rnacentral:lncRNA from 1 species
GUUUCACCCAAUUGUCACAAAGCAAGAAACACAAGCCCAGUGUGCGGCAGACAAGGCUCUGGACAAAGGGCUGUUUUCAUCGCCCCUCUCCCCAGCUCAGAGACCCCCACAUGACAUCUGCAAAGGAGUAGGUGUAGUGGACGGGCCGGCCUCCCUCACCUCCCGACACUGAGGCGGGCUCCUUCACCCUGCCCUGCAGGCGGCUCUGGGCACUGAAACCUGCAACCACACCCGUGCCCCUGCCAGCUGUGGCAGCCCUGCAGGGAUGGAACUCUGGACCUUGUGCUUGCAAAGCAGGCGGCAGAACCACUGAGCUAAAUGCCUGGCCCUCUAACUGCAUUUUGAUAAACACCGAUUGUCAUGCCGAAGUGACCUUGUCACAGAAGGGCCUUUCUCUGAGCACAUCCCACCUGGAGUCGUCUGGCCUUGUGUUUUCACUGUGUUCAGCUUUGCUUAUGCUGGACUGAGGCCAGAGGCCGGUCCUGGAGUCUCACCCCCAAGGUUACAUGGGUGUGUUGCAGCAAAGCCUGGGCACCUCCUGCCUGGGCCCCUCUUCCUUCCUUAGGGAGCCUCCCCAAGGGCAGUGGUGCAGAAAAUUCUCCCCUUCCCUGAUAACAGCCCCAGAAGCAAUGGCACUGAGGUGCCCACUCGUGGGGUGUGAGCUUUUCCCAGGCCUCUCUUACACCGAGGAGGGAGCACGGG